rnacentral:rRNA from 1 species
UACGUAGGGUGCAAGCGUUGUCCGGAAUUAUUGGGCGUAAAGAGCUCGUAGGCGGUCUGUCGCGUCUGGUGUGAAAACUCGGGGCUUAACUCCGGGCCUGCAUCGGGUACGGGCAGACUAGAGUGCGGUAGGGGAGACUGGAAUUCCUGGUGUAGCGGUGAAAUGCGCAGAUAUCAGGAGGAACACCGGUGGCGAAGGCGGCUCUCUGGAACGGUACUGACGCUGAGACGCGAAAGCGUGGGGAGCGAACAGG